rnacentral:tRNA from 1 species
GUGUCAGUGCAAGGCCGAAUGGUUACGCUGUCCGCUUUGUAAGCGGACGAUUCUGGGUUCGAUUCCCAUCUGCUGCA